rnacentral:ncRNA from 1 species
ACUGUUUACCAAAAACACAGGUCUCUGCAAAGUCGUAAGACCAUGCAUGGGGGCUGACGCCUGCCCAGUGCCAGAAGGUUAAGGAAGUUGGUGACCUGAUCACAAGGAAGCCAGCGACCGGUAGACAACUUUUUGCAUCUUAAUAGAAAGAUUGUAUGAAGGUAUGGAGUUA